rnacentral:rRNA from 1 species
AACACAUGCAAGUCGAACGAGAAAGUGGAGCAAUCCAUGAGUAAAGUGGCGACCGGGUGAGUAACACGUGACUAACCUACCUCCGAGUGGGGAAUAACUCCGGGAAACCGGGGCUAAUACCGCAUAACAUCGCAAGAUCAAAGCAGCAAUGCGCUUGGAGAGGGGGUCGCGGCUGAUUAGCUCGUUGGCGGGGUAACGGCCCACCAAGGCGAAGAUCGGUAUCCGGCCUGAGAGGGCGCACGGACACACUGGAACUGAAACACGGUCCAGACUCCUACGGGAGGCAGCAGUGGGGAAUUUUGCGCAAUGGGGGAAACCCUGACGCAGCAACGCCGCGUGGAGGAUGAAGCCCUUUGGGGCGUAAACUCCUUUCGACUCGGACGAUAAUGACGGUACGAGUGGAAGAAGCACCGGCUAACUCUGUGCCAGCAGCCGCGGUAAUACAGAGGGUGCGAGCGUUGUUCGGAAUUAUUGGGCGUAAAGGGCGCGUANGCGGUGCGGUAAGUCACCUGUGAAAUC